rnacentral:rRNA from 1 species
UCGCUCUCGGAGGAGGAAGACACGGUCGUUUGGCCCCAUUCCCCUUCUGGUCGGUUCUCGGUGAAAUCUUUAUAUGGGAAACUCAUUGCUGGGUCCAUCACUUCCAAAUUCAAAUGGAUCUGGAGGGCUCGUAUUCCUCCUAAGGUCAAGGUUUUCCUCUGGCAAGCCUCUCGUGGGCGUCUGCCGACGGGUGACCAAAUUCGCAAGCGCAAUGGCCCGGGAUCUGAUAGAUGUGCUUUAUGUGGGUUGAGAGAAGACUCAUCACAUAUUUUCUUCAACUGUGUGUUGGCUAAGCUGUUAUGGUGUUGUAUUAGAUCAUGGAUGCAUGUCUCCUGGGCUCCGACCUCCUUUUCUGACCUGCGCAUCUUGGCCAAUUCUUUGGUUGGGGCCCAGAGGAGAUUGUUUUGGGUGGGCUUCGCAGCCAUGUGCUGGUCCCUUUGGACGACAAGGAAUAAAUUUACUAUCGAACAUGUUUUCCCCGCUAAGCCUGCUGAUUGCUUAUUUAAGACUUGUAUAUUCCUGUAG